rnacentral:rRNA from 1 species
GUAGGUGGCAAGCGUUGUCCGGAAUUAUUGGGGCGUAAAGCGCGCGCAGGCGGUUCGUUUAAGUCUGAUGUGAAAGCCCACGGGCUCAACCGUGGAGGGUCAUUGGAAACUGGAGAACUUGAGUACAGAAGAGGAAAGCGGAAUUCCACGUGUAGCGGUGAAAUGCGUAGAGAUGUGGAGGAACACCAGUGGCGAAGGCGGCUUUCUGGUCUGUAACUGACGCUGAGGCGCGAAAGCGUGGGCAGCAAACAGGAUUAGAUACCCUGGUAGUCCACGCCGUAAACGAUGAGUGCUAAGUGUUAGGGGGUUUCCGCCCCUUAGUGCUGCAGCUAACGCAUUAAGCACUCCGCCUGGGGAGUACGGCCGCAAAGGCUG